rnacentral:rRNA from 1 species
AUGGCGUAAUGAUGGCCAGGCUGUCUCCACCCGAGACUCAGUGAAAUUGAACUCGCUGUGAAGAUGCAGUGUACCCGCGGCAAGACGGAAAGACCCCGUGAACCUUUACUAUAGCUUGACACUGAACAUUGAGCCUUGAUGUGUAGGAUAGGUGGGAGGCUUUGAAGUGUGGACGCCAGUCUGCAUGGAGCCGACCUUGAAAUACCACCCUUUAAUGUUUGAUGUUCUAACGUGGACCCGUGAUCCGGGUUGCGGACAGUGUCUGGUGGGUAGUUUGACUGGGGCGGUCUCCUCCUAAAGAGUAACGGAGGAGCACGAAGGUUGGCUAAUCCUGGUCGGACAUCAGGAGGUUAGUGCAAUGGCAUAAGCCAGCUUGACUGCGAGCGUGACGGCGCGAGCAGGUGCGAAAGCAGGUCAUAGUGAUCCGGUGGUUCUGAAUGGAAGGGCCAUCGCUCAACGGAUAAAAGGUACUCCGGGGAUAACAGGCUGAUACCGCCCAAGAGUUCAUAUCGACGGCGGUGUUUGGCACCUCGAUGUCGGCUCAUCACAUCCUGGGGCUGAAGUAGGUCCCAAGGGUAUGGCUGUUCGCCAUUUAAAGUGGUACGCGAGCUGGGUUUAGAACGUCGUGAGACAGUUCGGUCCCUAUCUGCCGUGGGCGCUGGAGAACUGAGGGGGGCUGCUCCUAGUACGAGAGGACCGGAGUGGACGCAUCACUGGUGUUCGGGUUGUCAUGCCAAUGGCACUGCCCGGUAGCUAAAUGCGGAAGAGAUAAGUGCUGAAAGCAUCUAAGCACGAAACUUGCCCCGA